rnacentral:rRNA from 1 species
GAUGAACGCUGGCGGCGUGCCUAAUACAUGCAAGUCGAGCGAACAGACGAGGAGCUUGCUCCUCUGACGUUAGCGGCGGACGGGUGAGUAACACGUGGAUAACCUACCUAUAAGACUGGGAUAACUUCGGGAAACCGGAGCUAAUACCGGAUAAUAUAUUGAACCGCAUGGUUCAAUAGUGAAAGACGGUUUUGCUGUCACUUAUAGAUGGAUCCGCGCCGCAUUAGCUAGUUGGUAAGGUAACGGCCUACCAAGGCAACGAUGCGUAGCCGACCUGAGAGGGUGAUCGGCCACACUGGAACUGAGACACGGUCCAGACUCCUACGGGAGGCAGCAGUAGGGAAUCUUCCGCAAUGGGCGAAAGCCUGACGGAGCAACGCCGCGUGAGUGAUGAAGGUCUUCGGAUCGUAAAGCUCUGUUAUUAGGGAAGAACAAAUGUGUAAGUAACUAUGCACGUCUUGACGGUACCUAAUCAGAAAGCCACGGCUAACUACGUG